GGGGAUGUGGCUCAGUUGGUAGAGUACCUGCUCAACAUGCAUGAGGCCCUGGGUUAGAGCCCCAGUACCA
rnacentral:tRNA from 1 species